rnacentral:tRNA from 1 species
UGGGGUGGUAGCUCAGUGGUAGAGCACUCACCUUGCACGUGCGAGGUGCUGGGUUUGAUCCUCAGCACCACAG